GUCCCAGUAGUGCAAUGGAUAGCUCGUUGGAUUUCUAAUCCAAAAGGUCGUGUAUAAGAAUCCCACCUGGGAUG